AGCUCCAAUAGCGUAUAUUAAAGUUGUUGCAGUUAAAAAGCUCGUAGUUGGAUUUCGGGGCAGCCUGGCUGGUCCGCCGCAAGGCGAGUACUGGUCAGCCGCCCUUCCUCUCGAAAGCCCCGACUGCUCUUUAUUGUAGUGGUCGGGUAGUUCGGGACGUUUACUUUGAAAAAAUUAGAGUGUUCAAGGCAGGCCUACGCCUGAAUACAUUAGCAUGGAAUAAUGGAAGAGGACCUCGGUCCUAUUUUGUUGGUUUCCAGGGCCGAAGUAAUGAUUAAGAGGGACAGUUGGGGGCAUUCGUAUUUAAUUGUCAGAGGUGAAAUUCUCGGAUUUAUGAAAGACGAACAACUGCGAAAGCAUUUGCCAAGGAUGUUU
rnacentral:rRNA from 1 species